GCAAGUCGAGGGGUAACAGAUGUAAAGCUUGCUUUAUAUGCUGACGACCGGCGCACGGGUGAGUAACACGUAUGCAACCUACCUUUUACAGGAGAAUAACCCAGAGAAAUUUGGACUAAUACUCCAUGACAUUUGUUAAUCGCAUGAUUGAUAAAUUAAAGCUCCGGCGGUAAAAGAUGGGCAUGCGUCCUAUUAGUUAGUUGGUAAGGUAACGGCUUACCAAGACUAUGAUAGGUAGGGGGUCUGAGAGGAUUAUC
rnacentral:rRNA from 1 species